rnacentral:rRNA from 1 species
AACGAACGUUGGCGGCGCGCCUAACACAUGCAAGUCGAGCGAGAAGGAAGCAAUUCCUGUAAAGCGGCGCACGGGUGAGUAACACGUAGGUAAUCUACCUCGAAGUGGUGGAUAACCUUCCGAAAGGAGGGCUAAUACAGCAUGAGACCACGGUUUCGAAAGAGAUUGAGGUCAAAGCGGGCCACUAUACAUAAGCUCGCGCUUCGAGAUGAGCCUGCGGCCCAUCAUGGUAGUUGGUAGGGUAAUGGCCUACCAAGCCGAAGACGGGUAGCUGGUCUGAGAGGAUGAUCAGCCACACUGGAACUGAGACACGGUCCAGACUCCUACGGGAGGCAGCAGUGGGGAAUCUUGCGCAAUGGGCGAAAGCCUGACGCAGCGACGCCGCGUGAGUGAUGAAGGCCUCGG